GACAGUGUGGUAUAGUGGUUUAAACAUUGGACUAGGACUCUGGAGACUAGAGUUCAAAUCCCUGACCAGCCA